UUCUGGCUCAGAUUGAACGCUGGCGGCAAGGCCUAACACAUGCAAGUCGAACGGUAACAGGAAGCAGCUUGCUGCUUUGCUGACGAGUGGCGGACGGGUGAGUAAUGUCUGGGAAACUGCCCGAUGGAGGGGGAUAACUACUGGAAACGGUAGCUAAUACCGCAUAAUGUCGCAAGACCAAAGAGGGGGACCUUCGGGCCUCUUGCCAUCGGAUGUGCCCAGAUGGGAUUAGCUUGUUGGUGAGGUAACGGCUCACCAAGGCGACGAUCCCUAGCUGGUCUGAGAGGAUGACCAGCCACACUGGAACUGAGACACGGUCCAGACUCCUACGGGAGGCAGCAGUGGGGAACAUUGCACAAUGGGCGCAAGCCUGAUGCAGCCAAUGCCGCGUGUAUGAAGAAGGCCUUCGGGUUGUAAAGUACUUUCAGCGGGGAGGAAGGGGUUAAGGUUAAUAACCUUAGCCAUUGACGUUACCCGCAGAAGAAGCACCGGCUAACUCCGUGCCAGCCGCCGC
rnacentral:rRNA from 1 species